UACGGAGGGGCCUAGCGUUGUUCGGAAUUACUGGGCGUAAAGCGCACGUAGGCGGAUUUGUAAGUCAGGGGUGAAAUCCCGGGGCUCAACCCCGGAACUGCCUUUGAUACUGCGAAUCUCGAGUCCGGAAGAGGUGAGUGGAAUUCCUAGUGUAGAGGUGAAAUUCGUAGAUAUUAGGAAGAACACCAGUGGCGAAGGCGGCUCACUGGUCCGGUACUGACGCUGAGGUGCGAAAGCGUGGGGAGCAAACAGG
rnacentral:rRNA from 1 species